CCCCACCCCAUAGACCCAAGGAUGAAGGGGACCCCUGGUUGUCCCUCCCAUCCCAUAAGGAUGAAGGGGACAUCCAAGGGGUCCCCACUUGUCCCCAUCCUUGUCCUAUAGGUUUGGGGACCCCCAGGGGUCUCUCCCACCCUCACCCCAUAGACCCAAGGAUGAAGGGGACCCCAGCUGUCCCUCUUGUCCCCAUCCCACAGGUUUUGGGGACCCCCAGGGGUCUCUCCCACCCCCUCCCCAUAGACCCAAGGAUGAAGGGGACCCCAGCUGUCCCUCUUGUCCCCAUCCCAUGGGUUUUGGGGACAACGUGGAC